GAAGAUUCUUAGAACUAGGUUUUCUUUCCAAAGGGGAGGGGACAAAACAUAGAAAAGUAUGAAUGAUAACAUAAUGAACACCUGUAUUCUCACUAUUAAUGAUUUUUACUUUUUCAGAUUUACUCACAUUACCAAUAAUGUUCAUAUAACACACUUUAACUAGAGUAACCUAGGUAAUUUUCCCAAAAAUGAAGUCCUCUUUUCCUGGUAAGUAUGCUAUAAAUUGGCUAAAUUUACUGAACUUUAUUAAUCAAAUUUUGGUGUAGUCACUGUUCAUGAGGGGUGCAAUUCUCUGAUCAUUGUACUUAUAACCAAAAACACAUAUAUAAGAAGCUGUUAAGCACUUGUGUCAUUUAAACAUUAUAUGUGGCAUCCUUAAAUACAUGAGUCAAGAAAUGUUCCCAAUGGAGUGAUCUCUUCCAAAAUGCCUCUGAGGGGGAAUGGGAAAAAAUAUAGCUAAGCUGAACCUCACCUGAGCUGACCUCAUCUGAAAUGACCCAAGAGCAAAAGGAGAGGGUGGCUCUCCCACUCUGAUGGGGUGUUUGUUUCAGUACACAACACUCUGGUUUCUCCAUGCAUCCUAUUUCUGAAGGAUGAUCUCAGAAACAGAGAUUAGAAGAUGAAUCCUGUGCUAGAGUUGCCACUCCACCAAGGCACAAUCUAUACCUUGAUUAUUACACAAUCAUCAGCUGAUAGGAAGUAAGCCAAAGUUUUCUCAGGACAAAGAUGGUUUCACCUGUUUAUUAUAAGCAAUUUUUAGGGGCAUGGGACUUUAAAAACAUCAUGACAUGUUUAUCUGCAACAAACAAACAAAAUCCAGGAAACUUCUUCUUUUGCAUACUCAGUCCAAAACUAUGAUCACUUAAGCUCAUGUCUGUCUGCCAUCCCUUUGGCAUUCCUCAAACAAGUCUACUUUAUCUACAAAGGUCUCACAUGCAGGAGUGUGCAUAUCCUGGAAUUGCAGAUAUUCCCUGAUUUCAUACGUACAAGCCAAAGAAAAUACUUUUCACAAUGUCUGCAGUAUAGGGCAGAAUUUUGGAGAAAUUACUUCAAGGCCCCAACAUCUUCAAUUCAUGGGCUUACAAGCCAUUUCAAUUUAUAGCCCUGUGCAUAAUUGUGACAAUUACCAGAUCAGAAGAAACACUUGAAGCCCACUAGACGUUCAAUAUCUUCCUCUCCACAUUCCCCAAAUGAGAGAAACUGAAUAUAAGCAACCACUAAUUGACAGCAACCACUAAUUGACAUAGAUACAACUACUUUCAUCAUCUAUUCACUAUCUUAAUAAUCCUUUCACCACAAUUUAUCUCUUUAGUGGCUGAGGCUUGAAACCAAAUCAGAAGCAUAUUGCUCUGGCUUCUCUUCAGUGAAAUUAAAAGAAAAAGGUUCAGUGUAUGAUGGAUGUUUUCAGAGAAAGUAUUUGCAUUUUUUAUAAUAUAAUGCCAACUGUAUCACAAUCUCUAUAAAGGUGCAGACCAUGUCCAGCCUAUUUGCCAAUGACACCAUAUUACUUCUGCAUGAUGAUAAAGUCAGAUAUGCAGUCAGACUAGCAUUUUAUGCAGAAAGUGCAAGUCAGAGGGACAGAAAAGACAUGGGAUCAGCAAACUGGCUUGACUCAGAUGUGUGAGGAUCAGGAGCUCUACAGUCUGACAAGAAUACCAGGAAGAAUGAAAAAGGAGCUGAAGAAACUCAACCAAUGCAAGAGAAAAUGUCUCUGGUCAUCCACCUGUUAAGUGGCAGAUAUGAAUUCAAGGCUUAUCGCUCUUGAAGUAUUGUCAAUACAACCUGGGAAGCCUGAAAAAAAAAAGUGGAUUCCUAGACCCAACCUCAAAUCUAGAGGAUCAGUCUCUCUCGCAGUGGGACCCCAGAAUCUGCAUUUAAUAAUCUCAGAUAAUAUGGAUGCACAUUACCAACUGAGAACUUUCAGCAUUCCUCCUCUAACUACCUUGUUUUCUUGACAAACCUGCAAAGAGUGAAGUAUUAAUUACCAAGAAAAUAAUGUUCUGAGCUGACAAAACAUUGGAAAGGGAACAGGAGGCAAAACUCCCAACUAAUCAAUGAAGGGGGCCAGGGCAGUGCUGACCACAACACUAAAGAACGAAUGGCAGCUAGAAGAACCAAAAUGUUCCAGUCAAACAGACAUGUGACCUUAAGAUAUUUCAUCAGCUGUCACUGAGGAGAGAUAUUUCCAUCAGCAAUGAGGCUGGAUUUACUCAAGUAAAAACUGCAAUAUAUGUGUGCCUCUGUGAAUGAAGAUUUUCCUUAACAAUUCUAAACUCUAAUGGGAAUAUACAAGCAAAAAUUCUCAAGGAAAAAUAAAAGAAAAAAGUGCCACAUAUCAAAUGAAAU